GACGAACGCUGGCGGCGUGCUUAACACAUGCAAGUCGAACGAAGUGGCGAACGGGUGAGUAACGCGUAAUCAACCUGCCCUUCAGAGGGGGACAACAGGUGGAAACGACUGCUAAUACCGCAUACUGAAGGAGGGGAAUGCGUCUGAUUAGCUAGUUGGGGGGGUAACGGCCCACCAAGGCGAUUAUCAGUAGCCGGUCUGAGAGAUUGAACGUCCACAUGAGGACUAGUACACGGCCCAGACUCAUACGAGAGGCAGCAGUAGGGAAUCUUCCGCAAUUGACGAAAGUCUGACGGAGCAACGCCGCGUGAGUGAUGACGGCCUUCGGGUUGUAAAGCUCUGUUAAUCGGGACGCGGGACCGGAAGAGAAAGCCACGGCUAACUACGUGCCAGCCGCCGCGGGAAUA
rnacentral:rRNA from 1 species